rnacentral:lncRNA from 1 species
AGUGAUAUUCAUUCGCGCUUACCUGUAUGUUAUAUCUCUCUCUUUUUCUCUUUCUAUCUUUAUUUUUUAUAUUUUUUUUCUCUUAUUAUAUUAAACUAUUGCGCUUACUUUUUUGCGCCGAUAUUGGACUGUGCUAUCGAAUAUUUUCAUCGUCAAUUGAUAUGCUGAAUAUUGGUGACUUUAACGUGCGAUUGGAAAGAAGAUGAUGGAAAUUUCAAUGGAACAAGACGACGGUAUCAAGGGUUUUUCGAACAAAUUGAUGACGUAAUCAUUCGGCUGUUAUACAAUGCACAAUCAAACAAAAAAGAUGGAUCAUUGGAUGAUUGAAUUUUCAUCAUUAAUUGGAACAAGGAUGAUAUGAAUUUCGAUGGAACCAGCUGAUGAUAUUUGGAGUAAGGAUGAUGUGAAGACGAUUUCGAAUAUCCACCUUUAACCGCACCAAGGUUGGAUAAAAAUCACUCGUUGGACUUAAUAAGCAAAGAAAGUACAAAAUCUACCGAAAGAGAUGGAAAAUUUUCGAGCGGAUGAUGUGAAAAGUUUUUGGUAUAAUAUCAGCUGCUACUUGGGCAAUCUUUGCUUUAUAUAUAGGUUUUUUGAGAGAUACCUAUAAGCCAGCAACUUGGCCACGGCAUUAAUUUCAAAAACGAUAUGUAUGUAUAUAACUUGACUAGAUAGAUCUUCUUUAGAUUUAAUUCUUGGACUCUCAAAAAAGUAUAUAUAUAUCUUUCAAAACUUUUGAUAUUUCCAUGAAGACGUGAUUUCUUUUAUUUUUGUUCUUUUAAAAAUUCUUCAAACUUAUUUAUGAAUAGACAUAAAGAUAAAUAAAAAAAACACCAUUAAAAUCAAUAAUGAAAAUUAAAAAAAUAAUUAAUAUAAUUGACAUGUGAUGGUGUGUGUAUAAAUAGUUUUGAGAUUUGAUUCUUGUUUGAAAAUUCAAAUAUAAUAUAUUAAUAUGAAUAGACACGCGUGUUAAUUUAACAUUCCAAGCACGAAGUAAUAGUGUGACACACGCGUGUCUACGUUAGUAUAUAUACACCUUGUAAUUACAUGUAUACACAUUGACGAUGUCAUGUGGCCCAAAAGACACUAAAUUAACUUAAAGUGCAUAUAUGAAUUUGAGUACUUGUAAUAUUGCAUGUUUAUCAACUACUCAACACCACCAAUGUGUAAUAAUAAUAAAUAUAUACAAAUAUAAAACUAAAUUAAAAAUAAAAAAGACAAAUAUGUUUCUUGGUUUUAAUUAAAUAACAGAAAAACAUAAAUAAAUAAAAAAAAAUAUAUAUAUAUAUAAUUUGUAAUUGAUGCAUUAGGCUAUCUCUUUUCUAUGGUCGCGUAUUUUGUGUGAUGCCAGUAAAUAUGACAUCAUUAAAGUGAGUUAGACAGACAGUAUAAAAAGUGAUAAAAAGACAUGAAUAAAGAAAAAGAGUAGUUCGAGACACUCCAGACAGGAUAUUGUCGCGGCGCUCAUUCGCUAAUUGAUCCAGUGUGGUGUUUUACUUUACACUAUAUUUUCAGUGGUUCUCAAAUGUCAUAUUAAUUUAAAUGUAUAUCUCUAUUUUAAAUAUUCAAAUAUAAACAAUAAAAAAUAAUAAAAUAAUAUUGUCAGUGUUAAUUUAACUUGUAUAUUAUUUAAUUAAAUAUAUUUUUUUUUUUUUUUUUCAAAAGUAGUUUCAAAUGAAAUUCAAAAUAUACAUAUAUAUUUAUCACUGAGCAUUCAUCUAUGUAUAUUAAAGUAGACAAAGAUAUUAAUUCAUAGAGUUCAUAAUCUAUUAGUUACGUUGGUGCUUCCAACAGUUGUAUUCAUAUAUAUUUUCAUUUAUAAAUGUGUGUAUGACGAGUGUAUAUAUGAUACACAUUAUGGCACACUCUAUGGAUAAUAAACAUUUAAUAUACGUACGUGUUAUUUAAGUUGUACCGACACCCUCGCAUAGUAUGUAUUAUAUUAAAAAAUAAAUAACAAAACAUCAGCAUCGAUGAUCUCAUAUAUACGCAACGAGAAGACAAGUCAACUUUUUAAAACUACAUCAACACCACCACCACCACCACAACCACCACUUAAUUGUUUGUUAUCAUUACUGUACGCGUGCUAUUGAAAUUAAUUUUAAUCCAACUUGGUUGACAAUAUUAUCAUGGUAUAUGUGUGUAUAAUUUCAUUGAUGUAUAUGUUAAAAAAAAAAAAGAAAA